GAUGAACGCUGGCGGCGUGCCUAAUACAUGCAAGUCGAGCGAACGGACGAGAAGCUUGCUUCUCUGAUGUUAGCGGCGGACGGGUGAGUAACACGUGUAUAACCUACCUAUAAGACUGGUAUAAUUUCGGGAAACCGGAGCUAAUCCCGGAGGAUCUUUUGAACCGCAGGGUUCAAAGGUGAAAUACGGCCUUUCUGUCACUUAUAGAGGGUUCCGCGCUGCUUUAGCUAGUUGGUAAGUUAACGGCUUACCAAGGCAACGAUGCAUAGCCGACCGGAGAGAGUGAUAGGCCACACUAGAACUGAGACGCGGUCCAGACUCCUACGGGAGGCAGCAGUAGGGAAUCUUCCGCAAUGGGCGAAAGCCUGACGGAGCAACGCCGCGUGAGUGAUGAAGGUCUUCGGAUCGUAAAACUCUGUUAUUAGGGAAGAACAUAUGUGUAAGUAACUGUGCACAUCUUGACGGUACCUAAUCAGAAAGCAACGGCUAACUACGUG
rnacentral:rRNA from 1 species